UUAAUUAUGUUACUUAAGAUGUCUAGUCAUGUAUUAUUUUACCUAGUUAAGUAUGUAUAUGUUAGUAACUUGAUUAGAAGGAAGGUUAUAUGACAAAUAAAAUAUCUAAGUAAAUAGGAGGACUAAACUUGUUAAAAGGUUGAAAGUUUAAUAAAUAAAAGAAAAAAAAAAUAAAAACACACACCCUGGUGUGAUGGCGUGGAUCGAUCAGAGCAAAGGGGGGAGAAGACAAACCCUAACUUCAUGAAAUUCUCAAGAAUUGAAAGAGAUUAGGAGCCCAAACUAAUGCAUGAACUCGAAACCUCAAUCAUCUAAGCUUGUACAACAAGCGGAACGUGUCAAGGAGAGGUCAAGCAUAGGAGGAUAACGGGUCAAGAUAAGGCAAGAUGACAAAUACACUUAUUGGAGUACUCGAGGUAAGUGAAUUUCGAUUCACUUUUUAGUAGGUUUAAUAGAUUUUAAUACUUAUGUUUACGAAACAUCAUGAAAGAACAUGUAAUAAUCAGAAGUACAAAGCCAAUAAUGCCUCAUUAUUGAAGAAGGUUGUAUUUAAGCCGAAAGUAAAUUGGUGGGUUUAAACGGGUCGAAUUUUAUGUGCAUAUGUUGCGUAAUGAAAUGAAAUUCGUUAUGGUUAAGACCUUGGGUAAGAAUUUUAGUCAUUAUGUAAGGGGAACAUUUCCCGGACCAUUAGGUACAAGUUUUAUAUGAUUCGGUUGUCGGUCAAUGAAUGAACGGAUUGUUUCGUUUUAGUGUAGGAAAUUUUAUAAGUAUAUGUGUAUAGGAAUCCAAAGGCCACGUGGGUUGAAUCGUAGAUUGUCUAUACUAUGUAAAGUUUUGAAUGUGACAUUCCGACAUAAACCUACAUGUAAAAGAAGCUUGUGUAUAUAUUCGUGAUUAAUUGAUUGUGCGAAGGAAGGAACAUUGGCAUGAAUGAAGGUACGCACAUAUAUAUAUAAGUGUAUAUAUAUAUAUAUAUAUAUAUGUAUGUAUGUAUGAUAAUAAGUACGUAGGUGUGAAUGUAUGUGUGAAUGAAUGUUCAAUGCUUAAGACAUAUGCAUGAACGUAUCAAAGGGUUCGAGUAUUUAUGGAUACUAAUGAUGUGCGUUGAGUUGGAAUGUAAUGUAGGUAUGGGGUCGUUGGCUUCAUGAAGAAAUGGAGCUGGAUUUGGAUAAGAGUAUUUAAGAAAGCGCUUGGACAAUUCCACGACUACUUUAUAGAAUGCUCUACGAAAUUUUAUUAUAUAGUUUAAUGUUGAAUGGUAUGUUAAUAACUAAUGGUUUGGUUGUACGUGGUGUCCACAGGUAUCGCUUGGGUUUUCUCUACUUUUAUUGAAGUGAAGCGGACUUAGUUCGAGUUGAGAGCAAGGAUUGUACGGGGUAGAAUGGUCACAUAGUGUAACUCAUAUAGGUUUUGAAGUAUUAAUGUUAUAAAACGUUAUAAAUCCGUUUUAAUGAAUAUAUGGCAUUUCGCAUUUGAACUUU